AGGAUGAACGCUGGCGGCGUGCUUAACACAUGCAAGUCGAACGGUGAAAGGGGAGCUUGCUCCUCUCGAUCAGUGGCGAACGGGUGAGUAACACGUGAGUAACCUGCCCUUGACUCUGGGAUAAGCACUGGAAACGGUGUCUAAUACCGGAUACGACCUCCGAAGGCAUCUUCUGGAAGUGGAAAGAAUUUCGGUCAAGGAUGGACUCGCGGCCUAUCAGCUAGUUGGUGAGGUAACGGCCCACCAAGGCGACGACGGGUAGCCGGCCUGAGAGGGUGACCGGCCACACUGGGACUGAGACACGGCCCAGACUCCUACGGGAGGCAGCAGUGGGGAAUAUUGCACAAUGGGCGCAAGCCUGAUGCAGCAACGCCGCGUGAGGGACGACGGCCUUCGGGUUGUAAACCUCUUUAGUAGGGAAGAAGCGAAAGUGACGGUACCUGCAGAAAAGCACCGGCUAACUACGUGCCAGCAGCCGC
rnacentral:rRNA from 1 species